rnacentral:rRNA from 1 species
GACGAACGCUGGCGGCGUGCUUAACACAUGCAAGUCGAGCGGUAAGGCCCUUUCGGGGGUACGACGAGCGGCGAACGGGUGAGUAACACGUGGGUGACCUGCCCUCAGCUCUGGGAUAAGCCUGGGAAACCGGGUCUAAUACUGGAUAUGACUCCAUGACGCAUGUUGUGGGGUGGAAAGCCUUGUGCGGCUGAGGAUGGGCCCGCGGCCUAUCAGCUUGUUGGUGGGGGUGANGGCCUACCAAGGCGACGACGGGUAGCCGGCCUGAGAGGGCGACCGGCCACACUGGGACUGAGACACGGCCCAGACUCCUACGGGAGGCAGCAGUGGGGAAGUCUUGCGCAAUGGGCGAAAGCCUGACGCAGCGACGCCGCGUGGAGGAUGAAGGUC